rnacentral:lncRNA from 1 species
UGUGGAAAAUUGAUACUCUGGAAUACUCCCGGGUGAAAGCAACAUCGGUAUCCGUGCGCUUGCAGAUUUUUCUAUUUGCGUUUAAAAUACCCAACAAGCUUUCUGGCGUCGUUGCCGGGGAACGGUAGCUGUGCUAGUUUCAAACCAAGUCGUCCGUGUAUCCUUUUUCUUUUCUUUUUUUACCACACUCACCUUAUCAUUUUCACCAUACCACAUGGAUUUCACUCUAAGCAUUAAUGAGCAUGGAAUUUAUUUCAUAGCCACUCCAUUUACUCCA